CUUGGCUGGCGGGGGAGGGGGUCUCCCCGGGCUCUACCUCCCGCGGCCGGGACUACCCUCAGAGCCGCGACCGCCGCGGCGUGCGUCCCGGGCCUGCAAAACUGUUUCCAAACUGCCCGGGCCGGAGGCGGGCGCGCGGGGCCCGGGGAGAUGGCUGGGGUCUGGGGGGCCGAGGGUGUGUGUGGACGCUGGGAGCCGCGGGGGGAGGCCGGCGUCGACUCAGAGGAGUUGCAAUCGAGGUAUCUGCGCUCCGGCUUCCUCCUGCGGCCCGCGACCCCCUCCCCGGAGCUGAGCUGGGGAAGGGAGACCAGGGUUCACCACGUUAGCAUUCGCAUUCCUGGGAGGAUGCAGCCCUCGCCUGGACCUGGGCGAUAGACGCCUUCUUCUGUUUUUAUUUUUGGAGGGGAGCGCCCUGUAAUUGUCCUGAACACAUGCUUCCCCCCCUUCCUCCAGCCACCCGCGGAGGAGAGAGUCCCCCUUUUUUGCAUUUAUCUUUUCCUUCCCCUUUCUUUAUUAAAGGUCCGGGAGUGGCGGCGGCCAAUCAGCGCGCGGCUUCCAUUUUGUGAGUUCAACUCCGAGGCUCCCGGGCUUCGCGAGGACGCGUUUGCAGCCCCCUCUGCCGCUCCUCUCUGGCGGCCGAGGCGCAGGAGCCGCCUCGCCGGGGCUCGGAGCUGGUGUAGCUCAUAUUGGGGCUCUUUUCGGGGUUUGUAAUUUGGCCGUGGGUAGGUAAUUGGCUGGAGCAGGGCGGCAGGGCGCGGCAGCCAAUCAGCGCGCGGCUUCUAUAGGGCUUGAGUUAUUAGACGCUGAUCUCAAAACAUCCUUCAUCAGACACGAAGGAGAGGCCAACAGAUGAGGGAAGCCAUUUUUCUGCAAUGGAAUUAAAUGGCCAAGCCCAAGGACUCACAGUUGGAAGACUGGAGAAGACUUUUUAAAAAGAUCUGGAUUUUUCCUUAUGACUUGGAAUCCAUCUUUGUCUUGUAUAACUAGGUCAUAGCACACCAUUCAUGUCAGCAGUUAACAGUUUUGAAUUCCAAAAAAACCUAAAGCAGUAAACAGUCCUCAGCGAAGCCGCCUUUUUGCCUACCCAACCCUGGAAAGUUUGCAGAAGUGGAAGGAGCAGAACGUGAGGGUGUAACUUACAAAAAGGUAAUAAGAACAAAGACACCACCAUAACCCCCAAAUUUCCCAACUAAAUCAAAAAAUAUAUAUGUUUUUACAAUAACGUCUCCAAAACCACCGCCCAGCUUGAUCUUCUAGACUCCAUGGCACCGGGCUGAGCGGGUAAGUAAGAAAGAUAAAAAGUGCCUUUUGCCCCUUCGAGGAAACCCUUUUGCAGGCCAAGCAAGGGCUGCAAGUGUUUGGGAGCUGAGAGGAGAAGGAGGAUUCUGGAGCAUUGUAUUUGGCAGCCGGAGCGGGCAGUGGGCGGGGGGUUGGGACACGAAGGGCUCUUCGGACCCCUGUGCCUCUUCUGCCCCAAGGGCGAGAAGACGGGCUUCGCAGCGACCCUCGGGGGUCCAUGGAGCCGCCUGCCUUCGCCCCCUCGCUCUUCCCAGGUCUGAACCUGGAUGGGGAGAAGAAAUUGAAGUGCUUUGGAGACGGGGGGGCUUAAAACACUAGGGAGCCUCAUCGCCCAGCCUUGGGCCCACUUUCCUUUCGAUCGUGAGGAUUCCGCACCCCGAAGCCGGCUUCUCGGGGCUCCGGGGCGCGCCUGCGCUGGCAACGCGAAGGAGGACAAAAGGCCGGCGUCCAUGUUGGCACCAUGACGCAGCAUCUCCGCCCGCAGCCCGGAGCUGCUGUCCUCCCGGCCGCGCUCGCUCCUCCUCCCAAACACCAGUUUUCUUUACAGGCUUCGAGCCCGUCGCGGCUGGGCCGGGCUGGUCUGGCAGGCGGGCCCAGCCGGGCAGGGCUGCUUUGCUAAUGGCGGCGGCUCUCUUUCCUUCCUUCCUCCUUUCCUCCGUCCCCCCGGUCGUGGGGAGCCCGGAGCAGGAGGCGGGCCCGCGGCCAGGUCGGGCCCCGAGAGCCCGCGGGGCGCAGCGCUGGCGACCGGGUGUCGGGGGCCGUUUCGGGGGCCGUGGGCCUCGGGGGCGUCGCGCGCCGCGCCUCCCGCGCUCGCCUCAGCCGGGCGCGGCGGCCUGAUGGGCGCCAUUUCGCGCGCUGCCCGUGGCUGGGGCGGUGGCGGCCGCCGCGCGCCGGGCGGGAGGAGCGGCAGGGGUAGGGGGCUGGGCGACCCGGCGGCCCACGCGGGCACCAGGAGGCCUCGCCCCGGACCGCUUCCCUCUUUCGUCUUUGUCCUGCGCGGGCGCCCGCAGCCGAGGGCCACGGGGUCGGCGGGGCUUCGAGGCCGCCCCGGGUCCCACCGGCUCCUCCGGAAGCCGCGGACCGGCCUGGCCCUGACCCCAGGCCGCCCCCCGCUGCCCACCCAGCUCUGGGCGCCCAGGUCCGACCUCCCAGUCGCCCUCUGAGAGCCGAGUCAGCGCGGGGCGGGGGGUCGCCCCCUUUGUCCUCACUCAGGGCGGGAGGCCCUCGGGGUGGCCGCAGACGCCCCGUUGGGCAGCCCUCCAGCCCAGCUCUCCAGGCAGGAGGUGGGGGAAGCCUGGGAAAGCGGAGGGGGGGCCCCGGGAUCCCCCGAGGCGCGGGGCUCCCGGCGAAGCCUCAGAUCUCCGGCCCUUCCCGGGGAGGGUGCGGGCGGGGCGGGCCUUUGGAAAUGCAGAUGAGCCGCCGCCCGGGCCGGGGUUGAACCUUCUGACUCAGCCACCCCCGGCCGCCCGGGCCGCUGGGGGAGGGGCGGCGUCUGGGGUGCUCCCUUUCAGCCCCGGAGCCCGUCUGCUGUGUAUUCGGCCGGUCACAUCUCUCUCCCCCAACGCCCUGAUCCGCCCUCCACCUUCCUCUCCUCCAGGUUCUGGGCCGGAGAAGGGGCGACGUUCGGGCACCCCCCGAAUGGACAAUCUUUCCUUCUGUCAACGGCAGGGGCAGGCCUAGUUUGACUCUGACAGUCCUCCCACUAAGGUAGGUGUGAGUACUUGCCCAGACCGUGAGGGAGAUUUGGGGGGCUCUGGCCUGCAGCCCAGGGAGGGCCGAACCCCAAACACGCCGGGCUGGUUCUGCGGCCCCGCCCCACCCCACCCCCCCCCCCCCAGCUGCGAGCGCGUAGGGCCGCCUGCUGGGCCGCCGGGGCCAUCCAUCCCCGUCUGUCAGCUUCUGUUGUCAGGCAUUUGGGGCGUGUAAGUCUCUGCCGAAUAUAGCAGCAUACGAGAGGAUCCACUUGCAAGUAUUUCCCAGUUGUGUGUUCUUCGGCGGGGGGAGGGCCCUGGGUGCCGCCUACUUCUGAAAGACACAGGUCACUGUCAGAAAGCCCAACUGUGCUGUGGCCUUCCCUCCAGCCGCCCCCGUGGGGCAUGUGGGGUGACAGUGUGAGCCGUCCUCUGAUGUCUGGCUGCUAGAGAGGCAAAGAACAGAGACCCGAGGUUCCGGCCACCUUUCUCUAUGAAAGGGCCUUCCUUGACGCUUCUCCACCUUCCUGGGAUUGUUUUCUUCUCCAGUCCCCGAAUGGGCAGGCCUGUAUAUAAGCCUUGUUUCUAGAACCAGACAAAGCUGGAUUUGAAACCUGGCGAGCCAUUGAACAGCUAUGGCCUUGCGUAAGCGGUAUAGCCUCCAAGCCUAUUUCUCCAUCUCCGAAAACAGGGCUAGAUCAGUGGUUCUUAGUCUGGAACCGGCAUCAGAAUCACACCGGAAGGGGGGCUCACUGAAAAUGGACCACCGGGCCUGGUGCCCAAGUGUCUGAUUCAGUGGGUUGGUCCUUAGGACUGGCAUUUCUAACAAGUUCCCAGGUGAGGUGAGGCUGAUGCUGUGGUCUGGGAACACAUUUUGAGACUCCAGCCCCUAGCCUGGUAACACCUGGGGUUUUGACGCAGAAGUGCCACGUUCCACGCUUGGCACAUAGUAAUUGAUUUCAUUCUAACGCUAGCCGACUUCAUGUAUUGAAUAGUUUCCCAUCUCAGUGUCUAAGAAGCUCCACAGCUGGAGAUGGCGGCCCUUGGUCUCGGAGCCCCCCUCCUUGUGAUUUCUGCUUUGUGAUUGCUUUGAUGAACCAUUUGGGUCCAGGUGCUCCUGAUCACACCACCUCCCCUAUUUGGGACUUGUGCCCCACUCCCGCUGUGAGGGCUACACCGAGCUCUGGGGGCCUGUUCGGAUUAACAAGGAGAUCUUGCUAAAGGUAUCUUGGUGCUAAGUUAAGGGAGAUAGUUCGCCAUGGGCUAGGAUCUCUCAGUGCUGGUGACCUUGGGUGAGUGUCUCCCUGUAAAGUGAUAAGGAUGCCUGCUGGAAAGGGUGGUGGGAGGAUUAAGUGCGUUAAAGAGGCCCUCCUCCCAAGCUUUUAGUUGGCCUCCAUUGUGAUCGUGGUUAUUGCUGGGAGUGGCUGCAGGGGGUGGGGGCUGGGCUGCCUCAGAGCUUCCCCCCGCACCAGCCCACCUGCUGAAGCACGUGUCCCUGCCUCAGGGCAAAGGGGAAUCUGGCGCUCCCUGGGAAGGCGGCCAACGCGGUUCUCCUCUGGAGUGGUUGAGUCCAGCUGCAGGCCUUUCCCCAUCCACAGGGGCUGUUCCAUGAUGGGGUCAAGAUUUGGGUCACCCACCCAUGGUCCGGGGAGAAGUGACUCCCCAAGGUCACAAGGCCACCACCAAUAGAGCCAGGAUGGGGUUCCAGGUGGCUUGACUUGGCAGCCAGCGCCUGUGCCCAUGGCACCCCCUCACCCCAGCUGUCUGGGUUAUUUUGGGCUUCCUCCCGUGCCAGCUGUCUGCUGGCAUCCCUGCCCGGGACUGUCUGGUUGGAAGUAACUGGCGUGGUGCUGUUGGCUCCUCCUGUGAGGGCCAGGGCUGGGUCUUCAAUCCCCGAUGAGCCGUGCUGGGUCCAGCUCCUUUGCUGGGAGGGAAGAGUGUUCCUGCCCAGACUCCCCGCUGCCCAAGUACAGCAAGAGGGCGAAAGCACCUGAUAAAAAUUGAGGUUCACAUUGUUAAUAUCCCAAAAGC
rnacentral:lncRNA from 1 species